rnacentral:misc_RNA from 1 species
GAUGAAGAACGCAGCAAAAUGCGAUAAGUAAUGUGAAUUGCAGAAUUCAGUGAAUCAUCGAAUCUUUGAACGCACAUUGCGCCCGCCAGUAUUCUGGCGGGCAUGCCUGUUCGAGCGUCAUUUCAACCCUCAAGCACAGCUUGGUGUUGGGACUCGCGUUAAUUCGCGUUCCUCAAAUUGAUUGGCGGUCACGUCGAGCUUCCAUAGCGUAGUAGUAAAACCUUCGUUACUGGUAAUCGUCGCGGCCACGCCGUUAAACCCCAACUUCUGAAUGUUGACCUCGGAUCAGGUAGGAAUACCCGCUGAACUUAAGCAUAUCAAUAAGCGGAGGA